rnacentral:lncRNA from 1 species
UGCUACAGUCCUCUGUGGCUAUUUAAGCCAAUCCCCACGGAAACUAGCCGUUACUCUGCUUUUUCUGGCCGUUCUGCACACUCUGCGCAGCCUGACAAUAUGACCGUUGGUGGGUUAGAGUCGACUCGCGCGAUCAGGAGUCGACUCGGCUGUAGCAGGAGUCGACUCACGCUUUUCCGGAGUCGACUCGGCAACUGUUCCAAAUUUGAAUUAAAGUUGCCGUCUAGACUGGGAGUCGACUCGUCUUGACCUGGAGUCGACUCGCCAACUUCUGGAGCUGACCUGGCAAUUUUGGAGUCGGCUCAUCCACUGAAGUCCGUGGAUCCAAUUUUGAAUUUUGUUCACUCGAGUCGACUCGACUGUCCUGGGAGUCGACUCGAAUCUCAGAGCCCGAACUCCCGAUUCUCUGUCUUUUGGCUCAUCCAGUCUUGGAGUCGACUCGAACUUCCUUGGGAAUUUCACAUAGAGCCCUAACCUUAGCCAUACAUAAAGCACCAACAAGAUCAGUUGGAGUCGACUCGGCUCUCAGUUUCCGAAAGUUGGUCUUCUGUCUGUUGAUGGUCGCUCAGUCUCGGAGUCGACUUGCGUACUGCGGGAGUCGACUCGAAUCUCAGAGUCCGAAAAUCGUUCUCUGACUUUUUCCUUGUGUUCCUCUGAGAGUCGACUCUUACCUUCUUUGGAGUCGACCUGCCAACCAUUGGAGUCGACUCGCGUUCCACUGGAGUCGACUCGAAUCUCAGACCCGAAAACUGCUCUCUGACUUUUCUUUGUGUUUCUCUUGGAGUCGACUCUU